GACGAACGCUGGCGGCGUGCUUAACACAUGCAAGUCGAACGCUGAAGCUCAGCUUUUGUUGGGUGGAUGAGUGGCGAACGGGUGAGUAACACGUGAGUAACCUGCCCCCUUCUUUGGGAUAACGCCCGGAAACGGGUGCUAAUACUGAAUAUUCACUGGUCUUCGCAUGGGGGUUGGUGGAAAGGGUUUUUCUGGUGGGGGAUGGGCUCGCGGCCUAUCAGCUUGUUGGUGGGGUGAUGGCCUACCAAGGCUUUGACGGGUAGCCGGCCUGAGAGGGUGACCGGUCUCAUUGGGACUGAGAUACGGCCCAGACUCCUACGGGAGGCAGCAGUGGGGAAUAUUGCACAAUGGGCGCAAGCCUGAUGCAGCGACGCCGCGUGAGGGAUGGAGGCCUUCGGGUUGUGAACCUCUUUCGCUCAUGGUCAAGCCGCAACAAUGGUUGUGGUGAGGGUAGUGGGUAAAGAAGCGCCGGCUAACUACGUG
rnacentral:rRNA from 1 species